rnacentral:snoRNA from 1 species
CCCAGGGAUCCCUGAUCAAGUCCCCAGAUGAGCCAGCAAUAUUUUCCUUAUAUUAUCAGGCCCCUUUGUGGGAGGCACUGCUUGCCUUGGGCCUGAGAGGAUUAUAAAAAUGUGCCAGUUGAUGUUGGGCCAGGGGACCAGGUG